GCUUAACACAUGCAAGUCGAACGGUAACAGAUAGAAGCUUGCUUCUAUGCUGACGAGUGGCGCACGGGUGAGUAAUAUAUAGGUAAUGUGCCCCGCAGACCGGGAUAGCCACUGGAAACGGUGAUUAAUACUGGAUACUCCUUCUUCUUUUAAGAGAGGUUGGGAAAUGGAUUCCGCUGCGGGAUCGGCCUAUAUCCUAUCAGCUAGUUGGUGAGGUAAGAGCUCACCAAGGCGAUGACGGGUAGCGGGUUUGAGAGGAUGAUCCGCCACACUGGUACUGAGACACGGACCAGACUCCUACGGGAGGCAGCAGUGAGGAAUAUUGCACAAUGGGGGAAACCCUGAUGCAGCAACGCCGCGUGGAGGAUGACGCAUUUCGGUGUGUAAACUCCUUUUAUACGUCAAGAAAAUGACGGUAGCAUAUGAAUAAGCACCGGCUAACUCCGUGCCAGCAGCCGCGGUAAUACGGAGGGUGCAAGCGUUACUCGGAAUCACUGGGCGUAAAGGACGCGUAGGCGGGAUAGUAAGUCUGAUGUGAAAUCCUAUGGCUCAACCAUAGAACUGCAUUGGAAACUGCUGACCUAGAGUAUGGGAGGGGGAGAUGGAAUUAGUGGUGUAGGGGUAAAAUCCGUAGAUAUCACU
rnacentral:rRNA from 1 species